rnacentral:rRNA from 1 species
AGAGUUUGAUCCUGGCUCAGGAUGAACGCUGGCGGCGUGCUUAACACAUGCAAGUCGAACGAACCUUCGGGUUAGUGGCGGACGGGUGAGUAACGCGUGAGAAUCUGCCCUCAGGAGGGGGAUAACGGUUGGAAACGACCGCUAAUACCCCAUAUGCCGAGAGGUGAAAUGAAUUUCGCCUGAGGAUGAGCUCGCGUCUGAUUAGUUAGUUGGUGGGGUAAUGGCCUACCAAGACAUCGAUCAGUAGCUGGUCUGAGAGGAUGAUCAGCCACACUGGGACUGAGACACGGCCCAGACUCCUACGGGAGGCAGCAGUGGGGAAUUUUCCGCAAUGGGCGAAAGCCUGACGGAGCAACGCCGCGUGAGGGAUGAAGGCCUCUGGGCUGUAAACCUCUUUUAUCAAGGAAGAAGAUCUGACGGUACUUGAUGAAUAAGCCACGGCUAAUUCCGUGCCAGCAGCCGCGGUAAUACGGGAGUGGCAAGCGUUAUCCGGAAUUAUUGGGCGUAAAGCGUCCGCAGGCGGUCUGUCAAGUCUGCUGUUAAAGCGUGGAGCUUAACUCCAUUUCGGCAGUGGAAACUGACAGACUAGAGUGUGGUAGGGGCAGAGGGAAUUCCCGGUGUAGCGGUGAAAUGCGUAGAUAUCGGGAAGAACACCAGUGGCGAAGGCGCUCUGCUGGGCCAUAACUGACGCUCAUGGACGAAAGCCAGGGGAGCGAAAGGGAUUAGAUACCCCUGUAGUCCUGGCCGUAAACGAUGAACACUAGGUGUCGGGGGAAUCGACCCCCUCGGUGUCGUAGCCAACGCGUUAAGUGUUCCGCCUGGGGAGUACGCACGCAAGUGUGAAACUCAAAGGAAUUGACGG